rnacentral:rRNA from 1 species
AGUGGCGGACGGGUGAGUAACGCGUGAGAAUCUGCCCUUUGGAUGGGGAUAACGACUGGAAACGGUCGCUAAUACCCAAUAUGCCGAGAGGUGAAACUUAUAUGGCCAGAGGAUGAGCUCGCGUCUGAUUAGCUAGUUGGAGUGGUAACGGCACACCAAGGCGACGAUCAGUAGCUGGUCUGAGAGGAUGAUCAGCCACACUGGGACUGAGACACGGCCCAGACUCCUACGGGAGGCGGCAGUGGGGAAUUUUCCGCAAUGGGCGAAAGCCUGACGGAGCAAGACCGCGUGAGGGAGGAAGGCCUACUGGUUGUAAACCUCUUUUGAUAGGGAAGAAGAACUGACGGUACUAGAGGAAUCAGCAUCGGCUAACUCCGUGCCAGCAGCCGCGGUAAUACGGAGGAUGCAAGCGUUAUCCGGAAUUAUUGGGCGUAAAGCGUCCGUAGGCGGUUUUACAAGUCUGCUGUUAAAGCGUACAGCUCAACUGCAUAUAGGCAGUGGAAACUGUAAGACUAGAGUGUAGUAGGGGUAGAGGGAAUUCCCAGUGUAGCGGUGAAAUGCGUAGAUAUUGGGAAGAACACCGGUGGCGAAAGCGCUCUACUGGGCUACAACUGACGCUGAUGGACGAAAGCUAGGGGAGCGAAAGGGAUUAGAUACCCCUGUAGUCCUAGCCGUAAACGAUGGACACUAGGUGUUG